rnacentral:rRNA from 1 species
CGGCACGCCUAACACAUGCAAGUCGAACGAAGUAGCAAUACUUAGUGGCAGACGGGUGAGUAACAUGUAGGUAUCUGCCCUUUGGCCUGGAAUAACACGAGGAAACUUGUGCUAAUACCGGAUAAGUCUUUACGGAGAAAGCUUUAUGCACCAUUGGAUGAGCCUGCACUUGAUUAGUUUGUUGGUGGGGUAAUGGCCUACCAAGACUGUGAUCAAUAGCUGAUUUGAGAGGAUGAUCAGCCACAUUGGGACUGAGACACGGCCCAAACUCCUACGGGAGGCAGCAGUGGGGAAUCUUGCACAAUGGAGGAAACUCUGAUGCAGCGAUGCCGCGUGAGUGAAGAAGGCCCUUGGGUUGUAAAGCUCUUUCGUCGGGGAAGAAAAUGACUGUACCCGAAUAAGAAGGUCCGGCUAACUUCGUGCCAGCAGCCGCGGUAAUACGAAGGGACCUAGCGUAGUUCGGAAUUACUGGGCUUAAAGAGUUCGUAGGUGGUUGAAAAAGUUGGUGGUGAAAUCCCAGAGCUUAACUCUGGAACUGCCAUCAAAACUUUUCAGCUA